rnacentral:lncRNA from 10 species
GGACUCAGAAAGGCAAAACAGCUUGCUCAAGGGCUCACAACUAUUUAGGUGGUAGAGCUAAGAUAUGAACCUACCUCUGACACCAAAGUGCACUUCAACACCCUACUAUCACCCAACAAAGAAUUCUGGCCACAGAAUCACCUUGCUGCGGUAUUCCUGACUGAAUCAAGAUACGCUGGGGAAGAGGCAUCUGAAGAUAGCCCGGGUUCUGACCUCGGCCCUGCUGCCUAACUGCCUGGUGACUUCAGGUAUUCUAAUCACAGAAUUACUGGAGCAUCAAGAAGUGCCUGCAUGCUUGGAAGGGCUUCCAGGCAGAUGAACACACCUCAGCACCGGGUGGCAUUUUCCCAGGGUGCAACCCGGACCGGCUCUGGGUCACACUGACAAGCCUCUCCGACUCCCCAGGCUGGGUUGGGUGCUCCUCCCUCUCAUCCCACAGCGCUAUGUCUCAUGUCUUCUGGAAAACUUGCCAAUCCCUAGUGUAAGUGUGACUGGUCUAUUGUGAGCACCUAUUGUUCAGGGACCUCUGUUUACCUGAGGCCAGGACAAGGGCCUGGAAUGUGAGCAGGAGCAAGGGAGUGCUCGGGAAAUGGAAACAAUGAAUGAAUCAAUCAGUCAAUCAUCUCCUGGGGUGGAAGUGUCCAGCACAGAGACUGCCACACUGCAAGACGAAGGGGCUGGACACACGGAAGAGAGAGGCGGAACCCUGCACCCCCUCAACCUCAGCCCUACUGAGUCUCCAAUGGGGCCACGCUUCUGAGUGCACCUCCCCGUGUCAUCUGUAAUGUGAGGGGGAACCAGGCUUGAUAUGGCAUUCCCAAUCCAGGGC